GACGAACGCUGGCGGCGUGCCUAAUACAUGCAAGUCGAGCGAAUCUUUGGGAGCUUGCUCCCAAAGAUUAGCGGCGGACGGGUGAGUAACACGUGGGCAACCUGCCUGUAAGACUGGGAUAACUUCGGGAAACCGGAGCUAAUACCGGAUAAUUCAUUUCCUCUCAUGAGGAAAUGCUGAAAGGCGGCUUCGGCUGUCACUUACAGAUGGGCCCGCGGCGCAUUAGCUAGUGGGUGAGGUAACGGCUCACCAAGGCGACGAUGCGUAGCCGACCUGAGAGGGUGAUCGGCCACACUGGGACUGAGACACGGCCCAGACUCCUACGGGAGGCAGCAGUAGGGAAUCUUCCGCAAUGGACGAAAGUCUGACGGAGCAACGCCGCGUGAGUGAUGAAGGUUUUCGGAUCGUAAAACUCUGUUGUUAGGGAAGAACAAGUACGAGAGUAACUGCUCGUACCUUGACGGUACCUAACCAGAAAGCCACGGCUAACUACGUGCCAGCAGCCGCCGUAA
rnacentral:rRNA from 1 species